AGCAUCCAUUAUUUGUCACCCUGUAGUAGAUUGGAGAAGAAUCUGAAUGUGCCAACGCUUGUUCCUGUCAACAUUAGGCAUAAAGCAGUGGUGUUUUUUGAAGUGGGAGCCCUCUUGAAAACAGCCUCUGUCAAUGUAAGUUUUGUCAAACAUUUUCUGUGACUUAAAUAUAUCUCCCUUUCACUUAAAGAAAGACCAGUGUGAUGCCUACUGUUCUUUCAAGCCUGGAAACAUCGAAGCAGCUUCAUGGGACACAAAGCCUGCGAAGCAGAAGGACAAAGACGAUGCAGAUGAGAAGACCUUGUUGGUGCUCACUCCAAUUCCAGGCCAUACCGUGUGAGGUACAUAUCUUCAAGGACUUCUGCCAGAUGGGGAACUGGGAAAAAGCUGGGGAUCCAACAUUGCAUGACCUCCAAACAAUCAGAUACAACGUGGAUGGCACCACUCAGAUGACUGGGAAGCCUAUCUGUCCCCAUCUCUUAAAAGAAGAGUAUCACCACAGCAGCCCCACUGUGCGCAUCCAGCCAGCCAGUUAAAGAGCUGAAGUUCAAACAGCCCCAAGAACUGAAGGUUUUGCCCAAGAACUUCCACUCACCCUACGAUGGACUGGACCACGAGUGAUGCCCGUCACCAGCUGGAGCCUCACGCAGACGCGCACACACACACACUGAUGUACUUAGGCUAUAUUAGUUACAGUUGUUCAUUAAAAUGAGCGUAAUUAUAUUUUGCAUUAUUUUUUAAAUACCUUUUACUGGUUUUAAUGGUUUUAACAUAAUUCCUAAUUGUUCAAAGUAUUAAGUCAAAUAUCUGGUAGUAGUCAAGACUCCAAUCAAUUGUCUCUCACAAAUAGUCUGACAGAUUCUUUAUCCUGGUUGUUCAUAAUAAUAAUUUUGAAUGUUGUGUGGUUUACACAGUAAAAUAAAUUUCAACCUUUACUGAUUAAA